rnacentral:rRNA from 1 species
UACGAAGGGGGCUAGCGUUGCUCGGAAUCACUGGGCGUAAAGCGCACGUAGGCGGAUUGCUAAGUCAGGGUGAAAUCCUGGAGCUCAACUCCAGAACUGCCCUUGAUACUGGCGAGCUUGAGUUCGGGAGAGGUGAGUGGAACUGCGAGUGUAGAGGUGAAAUUCGUAGAUAUUAGCUAGAACACCAGUGGCGAAGGCGGCCAACUGGUCCGGAACUGACGCUGAGGUGGCGAAAGCGUGGGAGCAAACAGG